rnacentral:rRNA from 1 species
GCUUAUCACCAUUUCAGAUUGAAUAUACCCGAUCUCGUCUGAUCUCGGAAGUCAAGCAAUCUCGGGCUUGGUUGAAUUUCCACCACAGUGGCG